rnacentral:misc_RNA from 1 species
CGCACCUUGCGCUCCUUGGUACUCCGAGGAGCAUGCCUGUUUGAGUGUCAUUAAAUUCUCAACCUCAACCAGUUUGUUUUCUGGUGUGGCUUGGAAGUGGGGGACUGUUUGUAGGCUUUUUUCUAGUCUACUCCCCUGAAAUGCAUUAGCUGUGACUUGUCAGCCAAUUGGUGUGAUACAUAUCUACUCCAUCUGCUGUUCCAAGGUUGCACUGCUUCCCACUGUUCACUACAGUGGACUACACACUUACUUAGUGUAAUGAACAAUUUGACCUCAAAUCAGGUAGGAUUACCCGCUGAACUUAA